GCGUGCCCAAGUGGCUCACGCGCUCCCGCACCCUAGUUGUGCCCUCGCCACACCCUCGCCCACGCCAACCCCUGCCUCCCUCCCCUCGUGCCCGCGUUUCGGAUCUGCCACCUCCCGCUGCACCCUGCCUCCCUCUCCUAACCUUGCCAGCAGGACCACCGUCAGUGAUGCCUCCCUCCCGCCGCACCUUGCCUCCUCAUCCCACCUCUCCACCAGGCCUGUGUCCCCGUCGUUGCUCGUGUUGGGCCCGUGCCAGACUCGUCCACGCCGCUGCUGUAGAGCGCGCGUCAGGCGAGGGGGUCGAGUGCGCGACCGAGAUAGAGGCUACGACAACCUCCUCGGCCACCUUGCCAUCUCCAUUGUCCUCAGGGCCAAUGCUGGUAGAGGCACUUUGGUUCCUGGAUGAGCUGCGAAGGAAUGGGAGAUGGUGGGUAAGCGUGGGGUGUAGAUCCGUCCAGGCUCAGAUCGAUUUCUUCGUUCGCUGCUCGACAAGUGCAGUUAAUACUAGCAUGCUUGUUGUUAGCACCUAAAAACAGUGAAGCAGGUAACGAUAUCAAUUUGAUCUUGCGUCCAACUAUUUCAAUGACUGAAAAUACAGUACAUGUCAUAGCUGCAUUCUGGGUGCCAUCCUCGAUCAUGGAAAACAACAUUCUCUAUCAAAUUAUAUCUCCUCAUGUAAGCAAAUGUAGCCUCUUCUUCUGUAAUAUGAUUAGUUUGAACAUUGAUACUGAAUUAUAUGCACAAACAUGCAGUAGGCUAUUAUUCUCUUUUGUGCAGGAUGGUGCUCAAAUUUUGAAAAUAGAUGUAGGUGAUCCAAUUAGAUUUUACUACCAUGGUUCAUUGAGCGGCUUGCUUGUGGACAUUCCUUUUGUGGUAUUUUUUCUAUAUAUUGCUAUUGACUCAUGUCAUAAAUCAGUUAGUUAUAUUUUGCUUUGUUGAUGGAACUCCAUGGGGUGACAAUAUAAUGUUUUAUUUGCAAAUUUAGGUGAAAGUGAAGGUUGUUUGCCCCUCAAAAUGUUCCAUGAAAUCGAAUAACAGUCAAACUGUUAGUUGUGAGUUAUAUAGGAUCUGUUUAUUUUUCCUAUUUUCAUUUCUCUGAUUUUACUACACAACUUUUUCCCCACCCAUUCAAGGAGCAUUCCUUAAUGCAUUUGGAUAAUUUGUUCUAAAUGCGCCUGUUGGAAUCAGUAAGUUACAUUCAGAAAGAAUUUGACCUUCCAUUGUUAGUUGGCAUAUGAUGUAGCAGCGGUAAAACUAGAUCUCUAUGAAAGUCAUUGACAUGUGCAACUAAUUGUUAGAAAAGUGUAUUGAUUCAAAGUAUGUUUAGCUAUAGUUUUUAUCUUUCUACCUUCUCUUUUAGAUAGAGUUAGAUUGCAUCAGAUAUCUUCUCUCUUGUAUUCCCAAAUGCAAAGUAAUAUUGGUUCCAUCUUUGUUGGGUAAUAGAAAGAAUAUAUGUUGAUCGGUUUGUGCCAUAUCCUAAUAAAACAAAAUAUAUGUGAGUUGUGGUGGAUGCUCUGUAGUCAAUGUAGUAAUGCCCCAAAUCAGUGUUGUUCCUUUAAAGUUUAAACUAUAUUUUGCUUUGUGAUUAAAUUUGCAGAUCACUUUGCACUGAGAUGAUUAAUUCUGCCAUCUGUAUCAUACCUAAAUUAAGAAAAAUAACAUUGUGUUGAUUAACUACAAGAGUUAUUACCUCAUCUUAUUCUUAGAGUUGUCACAUAUUGACAUGCCCUUCAUAAAGGUUGAGUGUCCUAAUUCUGGGUGUUCAUGAUUGGAAGGUUUGUUGGGUUGAUUUUCUCAGGGACUACACAAUCACUAGGCUAGAAACGAGCUUAUACUUGCACGAGCUCACCUUGUCAUUUGUGGAAGCAUUCACUGUCUCCUGAUAAGGGUGAGCUUCACAUCUUCAGAACAGACACGUUGAAGGAAAUGAGUAUCCGAGUACCAAGUAUGAAAGAAGAGCUUUUGGAUAUAAAUGGCCUCUACAAGUAAUGUAGCUAUUCUGCCAUUUUGAAUGAAUUAUGUAUGAUGCCAUCCUUUUGUUUUCAAAAAGGGCUUGGUCUCAGUUUGUUCCUUUCUUUGAUUUUUCUCCAACGUUUCUUGUCGCGGUCUCAUGGUGAUUGCUAUAACUCAACCUCCAGUUCUUAGUAGGGUUGAACAAAGUAUUCUUAAGGGGUAGGUUGACUCUUCUCACUUGAAACGAAAUUUGCAGGGGUUAUGUUGUGUAAUGGUAGUAUAGUGUCACAUCAAACCAUUAUCCCUGACUUAGUUCGUGCUAUUCAUGUGUGGCAUGUGUCCAGACUUUAGAGAUCAUAUACUAUAUGGGGCUUGUUUUGGCUGGUCACAUCCCCCUCUUUUCUUUUUCUGAUCAUAUCAUUGCAUUUAUGUGUCAA